rnacentral:misc_RNA from 1 species
GAACUGCGAUACGUAAUGUGACUUGCAGAAUCUCGUGAAUCAUCAAAUCUUUGAACGCAAAUGGCGCUCCUGCGCAAGGAGCACGCCUGUCUGAGUAUCAUUCCAUCACCAUCUCCAGCCAAUGGAGGCAUGCAUGAGGGCCUCACGCAAGCGUUUAAAACCCGCUCGCGCGUCCCUUAAAACACACUUCGUAACAAACCGGGGGGUCGGCCAGACACCUGGGAUGCGGCGCUGUAAAAUUAAAUUCUUACCCCCGCCCCCUGUCUGCGCACCCCCCCAGCUAUCCAUCGUGAUCUCAGAUCAGGCGAGACGACCCGCUGAACUUAA